rnacentral:piRNA from 1 species
UAGACAUCCCUGGAUAACUUGGUGGCUA